GCUGACUGGCCUGUAAUUUCCCUGGCGAGCCAGGCCCAGGGCUUCUCAGAGUCGGGUUGCUUGGGAAUGCAGCCCAAAGCAGGUGGUAAACUCCAUCUAAGGCUAAAUACCAGCACGAGACCAAUAGCCAACAAGUACCGUAAGG
rnacentral:ncRNA from 1 species